UGCCCUUUUAUGUGGCCCACACUGGCCGGUCCCAGGCUCUGAACAGGCUGGGAAACGGGGGCGGAGUCCUGGCAUCCCACGGGUGGGGUGUGUGCCAAGGAGGGCAUUCGUGUGCGUUGUUGGGGACUGGGCCUGCGUGUGCCCCGCAGGGGGCUGAACCCGCUGAGAGAUGAAGGCUGCGUUGGGUACCGACUGCUAACACUUACUAGUGUCUAUUACAUACCAGCUCCCAUUCUAAGCACUUGGAUAGAUGCCACUUGAUUCUCUCUCUUUUUUGCUCUCAGCCACCCUAUGAGGAAGAGACUAUUCCCACCCGUUUCACAGAUGAGAAAACUGAGGCACAGCGAGGCAAGGAGACUUCAAUCGAGGUCAUGAGGCCAAGAGGUGGCAGGGCUGGUGAGUGAACCCAGGGAGUCCGGCUUCCGAGCAGAGCUCUCCACCUCUGAGGUCAGGGGUGAGGUGGUGUGGGAGCCUGGGGGACCCCUCAGCUCACCUGAAAUCGACUCACAUACACACACCCUGGGGCCCCGGAGGAUUUAAUUAGGACUCGGAGGCUGAUUAGCUGCUGAUAAUUAAGGUUUUGUGUUGCUUGCUCUCUUGGUUUCCCUAAUGAAGCAGAUGGUGACAGAGGGAGGAGACAGCCCCAUGCGGGCCCAGCGCCUGCUGCAGCCGCUGCCUCCAGAGAAGCACAACUUGCCUUUUCCUGGGGCCCAGGGAGCCCUGGAGGCCCGGGACCCCCACACGGAACCCUCAGUGUCAUCCUGGGGCAGGUGGGAAUGCGGGCAACAUACCUGUACUCAAAAAUUCUCUGCUCAUCUGAAAGUCAAAUUUAACAGGUAUCUGGUUUUGAUUAUUUGUUUUCUCAACCUGGGAACCCUAAUCAUUGUCCACCCAGGCCGGAGCGGAAGCUGGCGCUGGGGGCCUUGUUAUGUCAGGGGUCAGCUCUCCAGUCGCAGGUUAGUGAAGUCUGAAGGGAGGGGGGCCCUAGGGGAGGGGAGCGUUCAGGGGCUGAGGCCUGGGGGGUUAGCCAGCCCGCCCGGCAGUAUUCGCAUUUGAACAACCUGUACAACCACAGGACGCACCAGGUAGCUAGGAGCCCAGCUCAUCUCCACUGCUCCCCUGUGACCAAGGCCCGACCUUGUCUCUCCGCCUUCCUGGCAUGAUCUCAGUCUCCCCAUUCCACAGAGGGUCAGAGGUAAAGCCACCAGCUUGACACACAGCAAGACCCAGAAAACCCACCGCCUCGUCGACAGCCCUGGCCCCACCCCAAACCCCACAGUCCAGGCUGGCCCCUGGCUGGUGGCCAGCGCCCAAAGAUGCCAGG